GGCAGAAACAGAGACCCUCCUUUUCCAUCUUGGAGCAGGAGUCAGCAGGAGUUAGAGGAAAGGAAACGAAGACAGAGAUCCCUGGCCAGUGGUGACACAGAGAACAGUCCCAACCAAGGAAUGGACGUGGGGCUGCUGGAGAUCCCUGCAGAG